GAAACGACUGCUAAGACUGGAUAGGAGAUAAGAAGGCAUCUUUUUAUUUUUAAAAGACCUAGCAAUAGGUAUGCUUAGGGAAGAGCUUGCGUCACAUUAGUUAGUUGGUGGGGUAAUGGCCUACCAAGACGAUGAUGUGUAGCCGGGCUGAGAGGUCGAACGGCCACAUUGGGACUGAGACACGGCCCAAACUCCUACGGGAGGCAGCAGUAAGGAAUUUUCGGCAAUGGAGGAAACUCUGACCGAGCAAUGCCGCGUGAACGAUGAAGUAUUUCGGUACGUAAAGUUCUUUUAUUAGGGAAGAAAAGAUGGUGGAAAAACCAUUAUGACGGUACCUAAUGAAUAAGCCCCGGCUAACUAUGUGCCAGCAGCCGCGGUAAUACAUAGGGGGCAAGCGUUAUCCGGAAUUAUUGGGCGUAAAGGGUGCGUAGGCGGUUAAAUAAGUUUAUGGUCUAAGUGCAACGCUCAACGUUGUGAUGCUAUAAAAACUGUUUAGCUAGAGUUGGAUAGAGGCAAGUGGAAUUCCGUGUGUAGUGGUAAAAUGCGUAAAUAUACGGAGGAACACCAGAAGCGAAGGCGGCUUGCUGGGUCUUAACUGACGCUGAGGCACGAAAGCGUGGGGAGCAAACAGGAUUAGAUACCCUGGUAGUCCACGCCCUAAACGAUGAGUACUAAACGUUGGAUAAAACCAGUGUUGAAGUUAACACAUUAAGUACUCCGCCUGAGUAGUACGUACGCAAGUAUGAAACUUAAAGGAAUUGACGGGACUCCGCACAAGCGGUGGAUCAUGUUGUUUAAUUCGAAGGUACCCGAAAAACCUCACCAGGUCUUGACAUGCUUUUGCAAAGCUGUAGAAAUACAGUGGAGGUUAUCAGAAGCACAGGUGGUGCAUGGUUGUCGUCAGCUCGUGUCGUGAGAUGUUGGGUUAAGUCCCGCAACGAGCGCAACCCUUGUUGUUAAUUGCCAUCAUUAAGUUGGGGACUUUAGCAAGACUGCCAAUGAUAAAUUGGAGGAAGGUGGGGACGACGUCAAAUCAUCAUGCCCCUUAUGACCUGGGCUACAAACGUGAUACAAUGGCUGUUACAAAGGGUAGCUAAAGCGUAAGCUUCUGGCGAAUCUCAAAAAAGCAGUCUCAGUUCGGAUUGAAGUCUGCAACUCGACUUCAUGAAGUUGGAAUCGCUAGUAAUCGCGAAUCAGCAUGUCGCGGUGAAUACGUUCUCGGGGUUUGUACACACCGCCCGUCAAACCACG
rnacentral:rRNA from 1 species